rnacentral:rRNA from 1 species
GGUUGCGAUCAUACCAGCACUAAUGCACCGGAUCCUAUCAGAACUCCGCAGUUAAGCGUGCUUGGGCGAGAGUAGUACUAGGAUGGGUGACCCCCUGGGAAGUCCUCGUGAUGCAACCC